CAUUUUUUUUGGAUUUGGAAGGAUAACUCUUCCCUUCAUUUUUCUUCUCCUUCAAUCUUUCCCUCUUGCCAAACGAUAGAUUUGUGCUCUCUUCUCACUCAUUUCCCUCCUACCAUUUUCAUCGCUCCAAAAAUCCCUCUUACCAAACGAAUACUUAGGGCAAAUCAACAAAAGUAAGGGGAGCUCGUGACGUGUUCUUUGGGAAGAAGGCCAGAGGAGCAGGGAAGGGGCAAUGGAUUUUAUUGAAAUUUUGUAAUUAAAAGAAAUUUCCAUAUGUAUGGUGGCAUAUUAAUGAUGGCCAAUCCAUUAAUUUGUUUCAUGAUCCAUGGCUUCCUUGUGAGUCUACCUUUAGACCCCAUGCACUGAGGAAUAUUCUUCAGGUGAACCAAAUGGUAAAUUUUUUUUGAAGGGGAACAGAUAUAUAAUUUUUGAAAAACAAAAUAUAAAUAUAAAAUUGUUUUCCCCAAAAUAUGGUGGAGAGGGACAAGGUCCCCUUCUUGAUCAAGAUAGCUCCAUUGGUUUAGACUCCAUGUAUGGUUUUUGAUAAAUAGUGUGUAGGUGACCUUUUGUUAAAUUCUUCUCAAAUGUGGGUUUGGGAAUUGAUGCCAUUUGUCUUUAAUAUUCUUAUAAGUUUAUGAGCACUAUGAAUUCAAUGUCCCUUUGGAGUUACUAAAAUUAUUCCUCCUCUCGAGGUCAUUCUCAUUUGAAGACUAUAGAGUUUCCCAUUGCUUGCGCAUUGGGUUUUCGACCUUUUC